GACGAACGCUGGCGGCGUGCUUAACACAUGCAAGUCGAACGGAAAGGCCCUGCAUUUGUGGGGUGCUCGAGUGGCGAACGGGUGAGUAACACGUGAGUAACCUGCCCUUGACUUUGGGAUAACUUCAGGAAACUGGGACUAAUACCGGAUAGGAGCUCCUGCUGCAUGGUGGGGGUUGGAAAGAUUCGGCGGUUGGGGAUGGACUCGCGGCUUAGCAGCUUGUUGGUGGGGUAGUGGCUUACAAAGGCAUUGACGGGUAGCCGGCCUGAGAGGGUGACCGGCCACAUUGGGACUGAGAUACGGCCCAGACUGCUACGGGAGGCAGCAGUGGGGAAUAGUGCACGAUGGGCGGAAGCCUGAUGCAGCAACGCCGCGUGCGGGAUGACGGCCUGCGGGGUGGAAACCGCGUUCGCCUGUGACGAAGCGUGAGUGACGGUAAUGGGUAAAGAAGCACCGGCUAACUACGUG
rnacentral:rRNA from 1 species